GGGGACAGCUGCAGUGCUAGUCUUUCUGGGCAUCACCAGUGGUGGGCAGAAUCCCUGUGUCUUCCUUUUUGUGUGUGUGACGAGAUUGCUUUUCUUUUUCUUCUUCCGAGCUGAAGAUUGCUCUCGCCAGCUGUGCUCCAGGCUCUCCCUCUUAGGGUGUGAUUUAGGGGCUAUUUCCAGUCUAAUGGGAUAAUUUAUAACCCAGUCCCUAAAACCAAGAGGACUGCAGUUCUGUGGCUGAGAAUUGUAGAAUUUCAGAGCUGCGAAUGAAAAUCAGAUCCAACCCAAACAAACCAAGUAAUAACAGCAACAACGAUAAAGCAAGGAGCCAAACACCCCCAGCCACCGUGCGGCAUCUAAACCCCAGCCCCCGCCCCUUGCAGCGGCAGAAUCCGGGAUUUCACGGCUGUGACAGCAGGUGACGAAUCCCUAAGACCCGACUCUGCCAGAAUUCCUGUCUCUUCCUGGAAGUCCUGCCACUUCUCUACUCCCUCGCUGUAGGCCUUUUAGCUCUUCAUGGGAAUCCUAUUUUCUGGCUGGAAACUCCCUAUACAGACCAGGCUGGACUUAAUCUUGCAGUAAUUCACCUGCCUUUGCCUCCUGAGAGCUGAGAUCACAGACACGCACCACUACCCCUGGCUUUCUGUUUAAUGUGAAUGGUUUAUGCCAAUUUUUAAAUCCAUUUCCUCUUUUUCCUGUAAUCCAUUAAUCUCUGCGUUAAUUUUUAUUAUUUCCAUGCAUUCUUUUUUACUCUUGGCAACCACUCUGGAAAUCAGUUUGGCGGUUCCUCAGAAAAUUGGACCC